UACGUAGGAGGCGAGCGUUGUCCGGAAUCACUGGGCGUAAAGGGUGCGUAGGCGGGUCUUUAAGUCAGGGGUGAAAUCCUGGAGCUCAACUCCAGAACUGCCUUUGAUACUGAGGAUCUUGAGUUCGGGAGAGGUGAGUGGAACUGCGAGUGUAGAGGUGAAAUUCGUAGAUAUUCGCAAGAACACCAGUGGCGAAGGCGGCUCACUGGCCCGAUACUGACGCUGAGGCACGAAAGCGUGGGGAGCAAACAGG
rnacentral:rRNA from 1 species